AACGAACGCUGGCGGCAGGCCUAACACAUGCAAGUCGAACGCCGUAGCAAUACGGAGUGGCAGACGGGUGAGUAACACGUGGGAACAUACCCUUCGGUUCGGAAUAACUCAGGGAAACUUGAGCUAAUACCGGAUACGUCCGCGAGGAGAAAGAUUCAUCGCCGGAGGAUUGGCCCGCGUCUGAUUAGCUUGUUGGUGAGGUAAUGGCUCACCAAGGCGACGAUCAGUAGCUGGUCUGAGAGGAUGAUCAGCCACAUUGGGACUGAGACACGGCCCAAACUCCUACGGGAGGCAGCAGUGGGGAAUAUUGGACAAUGGCGCAAGCCUGAUCCAGCCAUGCCGCGUGAGUGAUGAAGGCCCUAGGGUUNUAAAGCUCUUUUACCCGGGAAGAUAAUGACUGUACCGGGAGAAUAAGCCCCGGCUAACUUCGUGCCAGCCGCCGCGGU
rnacentral:rRNA from 1 species